rnacentral:rRNA from 1 species
AUUGAACGCUGGCGGCGUGCUUAACACAUGCAAGUCGAACGAAGUGGCGAACGGGUGAGUAACGCGUAAUCAACCUGCCCUUCAGAGGGGGACAACAGUUGGAAACGACUGCUAAUCCCGCAUACUGAAGGAGGGGAUUGCGUCUGAUUAGCUCGUUGGAGGGGUAACGGCCCACCAAGGCGAUGGUCAGUAGGCGGGCUGGGAGGAGGAACGGGCAAAUUGGGAAUGGGAAACGGCCCAGACUCCUACGGGAGGCAGCAGGGGGGAAUCUUCCGCAAUGGACGAAAGGCUGACGGAGCAACGCCGCGGGAGGGGUGACGGCCUUCGGGUUGGAAAGCUAUGUUAAUCGGGACGCGGUACCGGAAUAGAAAGCCACGGCUAACUACGUGCCAGCAGCCGCGGUAAUUC